AUGAACGCUGGCGGCGUGCCUAAUACAUGCCAGUCGAGCGAACAGAUGAGGAGCUUGCUCCUCUGACGUUAGCGGCGGACGGGUGAGUAACACGUGGAUAACCUACCUAUAAGACUGGGAUAACUUCGGGAAACCGGAGCUAAUACCGGAUAAUAUAUUGAACCGCAUGGUUCAAUAGUGAAAGACGGUUUUGCUGUCACUUAUAGAUGGAUCCGCGCCGCAUUAGCUAGUUGGUAAGGUAACGGCUUACCAAGGCAACGAUGCGUAGCCGACCUGAGAGGGUGAUCGGCCACACUGGCACUGAGACACGGUCCAGACUCCUACGGGAGGCAGCAGUAGGGAAUCUUCCGCAAUGGGCGAAAGCCUGACGGAGCAACGCCGCGUGAGUGAUGAAGGUCUUCGGAUCGUAAAACUCUGUUAUUAGGGAAGAACAAAUGUGUAAGUAACUAUGCACGUCUUGACGGUACCUAAUCAGAAAGCCACGGCUAACUACGUG
rnacentral:rRNA from 1 species